GUGCACCAGUCGCGAAUACUCCGCAAUGCGCGAAAGCGUGACGGGGAACCCCAAGUGCCGUUGGUCUAUUGAUCGACGGCUUUUCGGGAGUUUAGGGAGCUCCCGGAAUAAGGGCUGGGUAAGUCGGGUGCCAGCCGCCGCGGCAAUACCCGCAGCCCAAAUGGUGGUCGCGAUUAUUGGGCCUAAAGCGCUCGUAGCCGGGUCGGCAAGUCCCUUGUGAAAUCGGGCGGCUUAACCGUUCGGCUUGCAAGGAAUACUGCUGGCCUUGAGGCCGGGAGACGCCGAGGGUACUCCGGGGGUAGCGGUGAAAUGUUCUAAUCCUCGGGGGACCACCAGUGGCGAAGGCGCUCGGCGAGAACGGACCUGACGGUGAGGGGCGAAGGCUAGGGGAGCGAACGGGAUUAGAUACCCCCGUAGU
rnacentral:rRNA from 1 species